UCACGUACUUUAUUUGCCUCUCAUCUAGGAGUAAUAUUCUCAGGGUUUAACCAAUAUGCUUUUAAGAAAGUAGUUUUGUAGAUUUAUGUAAGCUUGAUGUGUAAGCCUAGAGCUAUCUAGUUAUGGUCUCCAUUGUAAAAGAACCCUAAAUUCAAUAGCAUCUAAAAGACUGCAGCUAGAACACUGAAGUGCAUGCAAAAAGGGGAAAAAAGAUCUGGCUGUCACAUGCUCUCUGAACCAGCCUACUGACCUAUCCAUAUUGCAAGUCAACAUCCUGUAUCACCCUGUGUAUUUAUGUAUUUUUGGGACCUGAGGGUUUCAGCACUGAUAGAAGAUGACAGUCCAAAGGGAGAACCUAUCAGACCGUGUUAGCAUGACUAUUUGUGUGUUUAUGCACUGCGAUUCAGAUGAAUUUUCCUGUUUACUAGGAAUGCAAAUUCCAAUGCUACCUCCUAGAAAGGCCACUAUUUAAAUAAAUGGAAGGUUCGUCAAACAAACGUGGCCAUGUAAUGUAUCAAGAGUAACAUUUGCCUCAAUCUCUGAGUUGUUUAUUUUUGGCAUGUCAAAACUGGUUUGUACACAAUGCAGAAAUUUAAUUUUGAACAAAGGCCAAGUGAUUUAGUGUGAACAUGCCAUUUGGAUGAAGCCUGGAAUUGCUACUAACUGCUUUGGUUUCUUCCCUUUCCUGUGUAUUGUUUCCAACAAUCCUUGGAUGGCUGCACCCCUAUCAGUGCCUGAGACAUACACGAGCUCUUUAUCUUCUGGGCUUCUACGAGGGGAAGACACUUUUCGCAAAGAAACAACUUUUUUUUGACUGAUCCCAGUUCCAUUAAUGACCUUGCCUUCUGCUGAGAGAUUUGCUUAUUUAGCACAUGGUUGUUCUCUCCUUGCUGCUUGCAAACACCUCUGGUUUUCUGCUGAGCAUGGGAAGUUUGACUACAAGCCCACCUGGACUGUCAUGAACUAUCCGCUUAGCUCAUGAGCUGCACAGCCUCUGCACUGCCACCUGCUUGCUGCCCCUGGCCGUACACCGAACAAGACACAGCACAAACACCUGUCCCUCCAGAAUGAGCCUCUCAAACAGUACCACUCCACCAGCAGACCCUUCUUACAAGCUCACCUAACACCUGCACCCACAACCCACCAUCCAAGCACCUUGGGAAUAUUCAUUUUGCUUCCAUCUGCACUGUUCUCACGGUAACUUUGCCCCUGCAAGCAACAUUCCCCUCCAUGAGUCAACAUGGCCCCUGCAAGGUUUACAAGCUCUCCAGAACCCUCCUCAGCUCCAUUAUCACUCGUUUCAUGAAUGCUGCCACAUGCCAGUGCCUUCCACACUGCCCUGACAACAAAUUGAGAAAUACAGCAGUGAUCUGAGGCAAAGCUUCCAGUUCUUCUGUCCUCCAAAGCACAGGUCCCUUUCUUGCAAAGUUGACAGCCUGUGUGAACUCCUGCUGCCCCAACCACCCAAUGCAUAGCUUGUGAGUGCUGCCACAACGCUGACAUAGCAAAUUGAAGCCCAGCAAACUUAUCAGCCACUUUUAAACAAAGCUAUUUCGUCAUGCACACCAUCAAGUACGUUUUCCUGAGAGAACUCCCUGGAUAUAGCUCACCAUACACUAUACACCAUGUAAAUGGUCCCUUGUACAAAUUAAAUCUUAGCAUGGGCAAAAGUCUGGGAUAAGGCUCUCACAGCCCCUUCAUCAUCAGAUCUCUCAAGGCUAUGAGCCCACAAGUCCCUCCAUUUACCUGACCUCGCACUGUUGAUACCGGGAGCUCUCAUCAUCCCCACUACCCUCACAGCACCUGGAAUUUCAUCCCUCCCAGGCUGAGCUCCCCCUGCCCAAAUUAGUCUCUUCUCACAAGGCUACGAAAAAAAAAAGUGUCAGAAUUUUAACUUCCUCUUGGCACGAGUAUGUUUAUUCUCACAACAAAUGGAAACAUAGAAAACGUAUCUAUUGUUUCAGGACGUGAAUGUGGCCACCGCUGCCUGCUUAAGUCUCUGACAUUUCCACCCCUGAGCUGCCUGUGCACCCAGCAGACACCCGGCACAGCAGCCCCCGCUCCAGACGGGGCUCCAGGCUAUCCCGGGCACUCCUGCAGGCAGAUCCCUUUGCAACCAGCCUUACGGCCUUGAGCUGAGACCGCAAAGGCUCAGAUUAGAUAUCGGGAAAUAUUUCACUCUCAGGGUGGUCAGGCAUUGGAACAGCUGCCCAGGAGGUGGUGGAGUCCCCAUCCCUGGAGGUGCAACAAGAAGUGUCCGAGUCUGGUGCUGGGUGAUGCGGUUUAGUGGAUUAGGGAUUACAGUGGCAAGUGCCGGGUGGAUGGUCGGACUGGACGAUUUUAAAAGGUCUCUUCCAAUCUUCAUGGUUCCAUGAUUGUAUCCAUGCAGCACUUAGAGAGACUAGACACGCGGCGGCACCUUGCAGAUGAGCGUCUCCCGCUCUCCGUGCCACCAAAUCCACACUCCCAGGAACGUGAGCUCCGCAAGGCACCUCCUGACCCCGCACCCCUCCGGCCCACGGCUGCCGUCACACCGGGCACGGCGCCCCGAAGCGAGGCGUCCCACCGGGCCGCGAUCCUGCCCGAGGCUGGGCGCUAUCGCGGUUAAGCCGAGCCUGGGGCAGUCCCCGCGGCUGUGGCUCCGCACG